rnacentral:rRNA from 1 species
UACGGGGGGGGUAAGCGUUGUUCGGAAUUACUGGGCGUAAAGGGCUCGUAGGCGGCCAACUAAGUCAGACGUGAAAUCCCUCAGCUUAACUGGGGAACUGCGUCUGAUACUGGAUGGCUUGGAUUCGGGAGAGGAAUGCGGAAUUCCAGGUGUAGCGGUGAAAUGCGUAGAUAUCUGGAGGAACACCGGUGGCGAAGGCGGCAUUCUGGACCGAUACUGACGCUCAUGUGCGAAAGCGUGGGGAGCAAACAGG